GUGACAGGGUGCCAUUACUUUCUGAAGGCCCUGUAGAUGACAGGGUGCCAUUACUUUCUGAAGGCCCUGUAGGUAACAGGGUGCCAUUACUUUCUGAAGGCCCUGUAGGUGACAGGGUGCCAUUACUUUCUGAAGGCCCUGUAGAUGACAGGGUGCCAUUACUUUCUGAAGGCCCUGUAGGUAACAGGGUGCCAUUACUUUCUGAAGGCCCUGUAGGUAACAGGGUGCCAUUACUUUCUGAAGGCCCUGUAGAUAACAGGGUGCCAUUACUUUCUGAAGGCCCUGUAGAUAACAGGGUGCCAUUACUUUCUGAAGGCCCUGUAGGUAACAGGGUGCCAUUACUUUCUGAAGGCCCUGUAGGUAACAGGGUGCCAUUACUUUCUGAAGGCCCUGUAGGUAACAGGGUGCCAUUACUUUCUGAAGGCCCUGUAGGUAACAGGGUGCCAUUACUUUCUGAAGGCCCUGUAGGUAACAGGGUGUCAUUACUUUCUGAAGGCCCUGUAGGUAACAGGGUGCCAUUACUUUCUGAAGGCCCUGUAGGUGACAGGGUGCCAUUACUUUCUGAAGGCCCUGUAG